ACAUGAAUCACCUGGGGAUCUUGUGAAAAUGCAGAUUCUCUUUCAGUGGAUCUGGGACAGGACCUGAUAAUCUGCAUUUCUAACAAGUUCCCUGGUAAUGAAAAG
rnacentral:pre_miRNA from 1 species